AUGCGAAACAAUACAGCAUUUCAUUUAGGGAUGGCAACGGGUCGGGUCGGGUGCGGGUUUCACACUACCCGCACCCGCACCCGAAAUCAUCACCCGAACCCGAACCCGAACCCGAAGGCUAUUCGGGUGACAAAAUCACACCCGCGCCCGCACCCGUUGGGUUCGGGUUUUUUCACCCAAACCUGA